CCAAAAGCUGGCGACCGGCGCACGGGUGAGUAACACGUAUCCAACCUGCCUCAUACUCGGGGAUAGCCUUUCGAAAGAAAGAUUAAUAUCCGAUAGCAUAUAUUUCCCGCAUGGGUUUUAUAUUAAAGAAAUUCGGUAUGAGAUGGGGAUGCGUUCCAUUAGUUUGUUGGGGGGGUAACGGCCCACCAAGACUACGAUGGAUAGGGGUUCUGAGAGGAAGGUCCCCCACACUGGUACUGAGACACGGCCAG
rnacentral:rRNA from 1 species